rnacentral:rRNA from 1 species
AUUGAACGCUGGCGGCAUGCUUUACACAUGCAAGUCGAACGGCAGCGCGGGGGCAACCCUGGCGGCGAGUGGCGAACGGGUGAGUAAUGCAUCGGAACGUAUCCUGUAAUGGGGGAUAACGUAGCGAAAGUUACGCUAAUACCGCAUACGCUCGAGAGAGGAAAGUGGGGAUCGCAAAGACCUCACGUUAUAGGAGCGGCCGAUGUCCGAUUAGCUAGUUGGUGGGGUAAAGGCCUACCAAGGCGACGAUCGGUAGCUGGUCUGAGAGGAUGAUCAGCCACACUGGGACUGAGACACGGCCCAGACUCCUACGGGAGGCAGCAGUGGGGAAUUUUGGACAAUGGCGAAAGCCUGAUCCAGCCAUGCCGCGUGCGGGAAGAAGGCCUC